UGCAGCUUUGUCAAAUUCAGUGCUUCCUCCUCAGUGGAUGCCACUGGCCUAAAUGGCUGCCACAGUGAAGGUGUAGUUCAUGGGCCCCACAGUGUCCCAACAUGACCUGUGGGGAUAAAUAAGUCCUACACACAAAU
ensembl:snoRNA